CACCGCGGUUAUACGAGAGACCCGAGUUGUUAGACACCGGCGUAAAGAGUGGUUAAGGAAAACCUUAAACUAAAGCCGAACGCUUUCAAAGCUGUUAUACGCAUACGAAAGUAAGAAGCCCAAUCACGAAAGUGGCUUUAUAUAACCUGACCCCACGAAAGCUAUGACA
rnacentral:rRNA from 1 species